rnacentral:lncRNA from 1 species
GUCCUUAUUUUAAGGUCACAAGGCAUUGUUGUAGUCACCAGGGCUCCUAUCCUCUUGCAUAAUAAGUACCACAGAAUUUCACCCAGGAGUUCCUUCAGUCAGAUAAUGCAUUCUAAUAAACCUAUUUUGUUUUCAGGCUGAAUUUCUGUGCCAGCACACAUUUUCUGCAGGUGAUUUCUUAAAAAAGGGAUUUAGGGAUUUGAUUCACUUCAAGCAGCCACAAGUGAAGACCGCAUCCAAUCCUCAUAAGCUUAUUGAGGAGAAUUGCCAUCACCCUUUUUCCAAGCGCUAUUUGGACAAAUUUUGUCAGUGCACUGGAAUUACAGAUGAACACAAAUGGGUUUGUCUGGAGAUCUCUCUAGUCCAUCUACAGAGGGAUUAAUGAAGCCUUCCACCAAUGACACCCAUGCUCUCUGAAAAUUAAUUCCUUUUCACAAUGUAUUUCCUGAUCUGGAAGUCUAUCAAGGAUGAAGACAAGAAAGGGGGUGUAUCCUGGCUGAACAGAAGUGCUGGUAUAUUCUGCACCAUCAUUCUUGCCACAGUACUUUGUGACUUCUUAAAUACUCAUCUCUUGUUAUGCUCCUGCUUAGAGUAGAAACAAAAAGGUGUGGAGUUCAAACCCUCCUGGGCAGUCAUACAGUUUUGUUUAAGAGCAUGGGCCACUGUAAAUUAAAAUGUAGGAGCAAACAAAUCGUAUGUUUCUGGACAUAAAUUGAUCCCCUGAAGGGACCAGAAAAACCACACCAACACUCAGGUACCUCCCAAGGCACUCGGUUUGGGGCCAGUGGACUCUCGGUGAGCAUUGCCUUUUCCUCUGAACAGCACUUACUGCCCACAGCCACAACAUGAUCCAGACUGAGACAGUCCUGGGCUAUUUCUGAAAAGGAACUGAGCUAAAUAAAAGCAUAUUUCCCUGGAGACCA